rnacentral:tRNA from 3 species
GCCGGCGUAGCUCAGUUGGUAGAGCAACGCAUUCGUAAUGCGUAGGUCCGCGGUUCGACUCCGUGCGCCGGCACCA